CACUAUGUUGUGCCCGUCGGUGCCGUCCGCUCGCGCGGCCGGCUGAAAAGGGAAGCCGGUGCGACUCCGGCGCUGCCCCGCAGCGGUAUGGGAAACGACCGCGGUCAUGGCACUGGGCCGAAGCGCCCGGGAAGCGACCGCCAGUAGGCUUGGGCGAGAAGCGAGAGGGAAGAAGUGAGAAGUGAGAGGGUGCUUCGGCUCGUCUCUCGCUCCUCACUCCCCUGCCUCACUCCUCGCCCCACGUCCCGAGCCCGAAGACCUGCCGACAGCCGCGCGCCGCA
rnacentral:ncRNA from 2 species